rnacentral:rRNA from 1 species
UACGUAGGGUGCAGGCGUUAAUCGGAAUUACUGGGCGUAAAGCGCGCGUAGGCGGAACUUCAAGUCCGGUCUGAAAGCCCCCGGCUCAACCGGGGAGGGUGGCUGGAAACUGGGGUUCUUGAGGGCGAGAGAGGAGGGUGGAAUUCCUGGUGUAGCGGUGAAAUGCGUAGAGAUCAGGAGAAACACCCGGGGCGAAGGCGGCCCUCUGGCUCGAUACUGACGCUGAGGAGCGAAAGCGUGGGGAGCGAACAGG